rnacentral:rRNA from 1 species
GACAGAGGGUGCAAACGUUGUUCGGAAUUACUGGGCGUAAAGCGCGUGUAGGCUGCUUCAAAAGUCGGGUGUGAAAGCCCUGGGCUCAACCUAGGAAGUGCACUCGAAACUGCGGAGCUUGAGUCCUGGAGAGGAAGGCGGAAUUCUCGGUGUAGAGGUGAAAUGCGUAGAGAUCGGGAGGAACACCAGAGGCGAAGGCGGCGACCUGGACAGGCACUGACACUCAACUACGAAAGCGUGGGGAGCAAACAGG